AGUCCUCCUAAGCUAGCAAAGUAGUAGAUGUCUGUCAACUGCAGGCAGGGCGAGUACUAGUCCCAGGUAGCUAAAUUCACCAACAGUUCGAGGAUGUCUGGGUAUGACUAAUGACAGAAAACAGAGAAUUAUAUUAGCUGUUUAGCUGGAUUUUACUUCUUACAUAUUGGAAUAACCCAUAGUAAAAUGGACCACAAUUGUGCGGACAUAGAUUCUGAGGGCCGGUGGCAGAACCUAUAUCUUGAAAUACGCAACCAGUCCGACGAAUGUCCUUACAAAGUGGCAAAAUAUCCAGAAAACAGGAAUCGCAAUCGAUACAGAGAUGUCAGCCCAUUUGAUCACAGUCGAGUCAAACUAGAAAACACAGACAAUGAUUACAUUAAUGCCAGUUUAGUGAUGAUGGAGGAAGCCCAACGAAGUUACAUCUUAACUCAGGGUCCACUGCGGGACACGUGUGGCCACUUCUGGCUGAUGAUCUGGGAGCAGAAGACCAAAGCCAUCGUCAUGCUAAACCGUGUCAUUGAGAAGGGAUCGGAGAAAUGUGCUCAGUACUGGCCCACUCCGGAGAAGCACGACAUGACCUUUAGGGAUACACUCUUCAAGGUGACGCUUGUGUCCGAAGAUGUCAAGUCCUACUACACCACCAGAGUUUUGGAGUUGCAAAAUAUCACUACGGGGGAGAUGAGGCAGCUUUAUCACUUUCAUUACACCACCUGGCCAGACUUUGGUGUCCCAGAUUCUCCCGCUUCCUUCCUCAAUUUCCUGUUCAAGGUGCGCGAGUCAGGCUCUCUGGGGCCAGACCAUGGGCCUGCGGUGGUUCACUGUAGUGCGGGUAUUGGUCGAUCUGGAACCUUCUCCCUGGUAGACACCUGCUUGGUUCUUAUGGAGAGGCGGAAGGACUCCACAUCAGUGGACAUCAAGAAAAUUCUCCUGGACAUGAGACGGUACCGUAUGGGCCUGAUUCAGACGGCCGACCAGCUUCGCUUCUCCUACAUGGCUGUAAAGGAGGGAGCCAAAUGCAUCAUGGGAGACUCGUCAGUGCAGAAACGGUGGAAAGAGCUCUCCAGAGAGGACCAUGAGCCUACAUCUGACUCCCCACCUCCGGGACAAGCCUCUAACACCCCUUCAGACAAAUCCAACGGCUGUCAGCUGUCCCGUCUGGAGGAGCGGGCCGAUGGGGAGACGGGCAAGCGGUCGGGGACGGACUCUCCCAGCAAGGAACAGGAAUCCGAUGGAGCCUUGGGAAAUGGGCGAAAGCGACACCGGGACGAGAGGCUGUCCAACUCCACGCAGAAGACGCCGCAGAAGCAGACAAAGCCCCGACUAGGAGAUUCAGAGAAGAAGAGGAAAAGUUUGGCCUGCAUUUGCUGUACAUGACACAAAGAGACAGGGGGAGGUCCUGUUGGGUGCCAUUUAACGGUAGCGUCUUGAAGAUUAUUUAUGAGAAGCAAUCGGCCCUAGUUUUUGCCUGGGCCACCCAGAGCUGGCAAGAACCAGUGAUGCCUGACUCCAUGGCAACACCAGCAGGGAUCUGUAGUCCUUGUCUUCAUCUUCCUCCUCUCCAGCACCUCAAACUCCAUCCACAUGCCUCCCCACAAGAACUGUUUACAACAGAAAUGUGGACGUACCUUUGGAGCAGCAGCGUUGGGACAUGAACACACCAGCACGGUCAUCACAGUUGGAUUGCUUUGGGUUGUUUUUACAAUGUCAUUCAGUUGAGUUUUUUUCUUUUUUUUCUCUUAACUUGCUUUUUUUGUUACAUUGGAGAGAAAAACAGCAAAACAACUGAACUAGGCCAAUGUAUUGACAGCUCCUUAUGCUUUUGAUAUAUAAAUAUAUAUAUACAUAUGUACUUGUAUUUUUAGACGGCCUUUUCAAAGGCAAGAUGAAAUGUUCUAUUUUUUAUAAGAAAUUACUUGAAAUUUCCUAUCAUGUCCAGGGUCUGUAAACUCAGCCCAUAUGAGACAUUACCCAGUCUUGCAUCAGGAAUGCUUUCAUUUGUGUACAUUGUGUUUUUACACUUUUAAAAGUACACUAAGUAUUUUAAAUUGUACAAAAAUAAUGGGGAAACAUUGUUAUUUGCUUGAAAAACAAAUUGUGUCCAUGAUCAGUUGCCCUUUGAAUGAAAUUUGAAUGAAGUUUAACAUUUCAUUAUUUGAGACUAUAACCAACAAAUAAAACUGACACCCUUUAGUUUCGAAACACAAA